UUAAGUUAAUAAGGGCGCACGGUGGAUGCCUUGGCACUAGGAGCCGACGAAGGACGUGACAAACGACGAUAUGCCUUGGGUAGCUGUAAGUAAGCGAUGAUCCAGGGAUUUCCGAAUGGGGGAACCCAACAGGUAAUACCUGUUACCUACAUCUGUUAAGGAUGUGAGGAGGAAGACGCAGUGAACUGAAACAUCUAAGUAGCUGCAGGAAGAGAAAGCAAAAGCGAUUGCCUUAGUAGCGGCGAGCGAAACGGCAGAAGGGCAAACCGAAGAGUUUACUCUUCGGGGUUGUAGGACUGCAAUGUGGACUCAAAGAUUAUAGAAGAAUGAUUUGGGAAGAUCAGCCAAAGAGAGUAAUAGCCUCGUAUUUAAAAUAGUCUUUGUACUUAGCAGUAUCCUGAGUACGGCGGGACACGUGAAAUCCCGUCGGAAUCUGGGAGGACCAUCUCCCAACCCUAAAUACUCCCUAGUGACCGAUAGUGAACCAGUACCGUGAGGGAAAGGUGAAAAGCACCCCGGGAGGGGAGUGAAAUAGAACCUGAAACCGUGUGCCUACAACAAGUUCGAGCCCGUUAAUGGGUGAGAGCGUGCCUUUUGUAGAAUGAACCGGCGAGUUACGUUAUGAUGCGAGGUUAAGUUGAAGAGACGGAGCCGUAGGGAAACCGAGUCUGAAUAGGGCGCCUUAGUAUCAUGACGUAGACCCGAAACCAUGUGACCUACCCAUGAGCAGGUUGAAGGUGCGGUAAGACGCACUGGAAGGACCGAACCAGGGCACGUUGAAAAGUGCUUGGAUGACUUGUGGGUAGCGGAGAAAUUCCAAACGAACUUGGAGAUAGCUGGUUCUCUCCGAAAUAGCUUUAGGGCUAGCGUCGACAUUAGAGAUUCUUGGAGGUAGAGCACUGUUUGGGUGAGGGGUCCAUCCCGGAUUACCAAUCUCAGAUAAACUCCGAAUGCCAAUGAAUUAUGGUCGGCAGUCAGACUGCGAGUGCUAAGAUCCGUAGUCGAAAGGGAAACAGCCCAGACCACCAGCUAAGGUCCCAAAAUAAUUGUUAAGUGGAAAAGGAUGUGGGGUUGCACAGACAACUAGGAUGUUAGCUUAGAAGCAGCUAUUCAUUCAAAGAGUGCGUAAUAGCUCACUAGUCGAGUGACCCUGCGCCGAAAAUGUACCGGGGCUAAAACAAUUUACCGAAGCUGUGGAUACCUUUAUAGGUAUGGUAGGAGAGCGUUCUAUGUGUGAUGAAGGUAUACCGUGAGGAGUGCUGGAAUGCAUAGAAGUGAGAAUGCCGGUAUGAGUAGCGAAAGACAGGUGAGAAUCCUGUCCACCGUAAGACUAAGGUUUCCAGGGGAAGGCUCGUCCGCCCUGGGUUAGUCGGGACCUAAGGAGAGACCGAAAGGUGUAUCCGAUGGACAACAGGUUGAUAUUCCUGUACUAGAGUAUGUAGUGAUGGAGGGACGCAGUAGGCUAACUAAAGCAGACGAUUGGAAGAGCCUGUCUAAGCAGUGAGGUGUGAAUUGAGUCAAAUGCUUAAUUCUAUAACAUUGAGCUGUGAUGGGGAGCGAAGUUUAGUAGCGAAGUUAGUGACGUCACACUGCCAAGAAAAGCUUCUAGCGUUUAAACAUACUCUACCCGUACCGCAAACCGACACAGGUAGUCGAGGCGAGUAGCCUCAGGUGAGCGAGAGAACUCUCGUUAAGGAACUCGGCAAAAUGACCCCGUAACUUCGGGAGAAGGGGUGCUGACUUUAAGUCAGCCGCAGUGAAUAGGCCCAAGCAACUGUUUAUCAAAAACAUAGCUCUCUGCUAAAUCGUAAGAUGAUGUAUAGGGGGUGACGCCUGCCCGGUGCUGGAAGGUUAAGAGGAGUGCUUAGCGUAAGCGAAGGUAUGAAUUGAAGCCCCAGUAAACGGCGGCCGUAACUAUAACGGUCCUAAGGUAGCGAAAUUCCUUGUCGGGUAAGUUCUGACCCGCACGAAAGGCGUAAUGAUUUGGGCACUGUCUCAACGAGAGACUCGGUGAAAUUUUAGUACCUGUGAAGAUGCAGGUUACCCGCGACAGGACGGAAAGACCCCAUGGAGCUUUACUGCAGUUUGAUAUUGAGUGUCUGUACCACAUGUACAGGAUAGGUAGGAGUCUAAGAGAUCGGGACGCCAGUUUCGAAGGAGACGCUGUUGGGAUACUACCCUUGUGUUAUGGCCACUCUAACCCAGAUAGGUGAUCCCUAUCGGAGACAGUGUCUGACGGGCAGUUUGACUGGGGCGGUCGCCUCCUAAAAGGUAACGGAGGCGCCCAAAGGUUCCCUCAGAAUGGUUGGAAAUCAUUCGCAGAGUGUAAAGGUAUAAGGGAGCUUGACUGCGAGAGCUACAACUCGAGCAGGGACGAAAGUCGGGCUUAGUGAUCCGGUGGUUCCGUAUGGAAGGGCCAUCGCUCAACGGAUAAAAGCUACCCUGGGGAUAACAGGCUUAUCUCCCCCAAGAGUUCACAUCGACGGGGAGGUUUGGCACCUCGAUGUCGGCUCGUCGCAUCCUGGGGCUGUAGUCGGUCCCAAGGGUUGGGCUGUUCGCCCAUUAAAGCGGCACGCGAGCUGGGUUCAGAACGUCGUGAGACAGUUCGGUCCCUAUCCGUCGCGGGCGUAGGAAAUUUGAGAGGAUCUGCUCCUAGUACGAGAGGACCAGAGUGGACUUACCGCUGGUGUACCAGUUGUCUUGCCAAAGGCAUCGCUGGGUAGCUAUGUAGGGAAGGGAUAAACGCUGAAAGCAUCUAAGUGUGAAACCCACCUCAAGAUGAGAUUUCCCAUGAUUAUAUAUCAGUAAGAGCCCUGAGAGAUGAUCAGGUAGAUAGGUUAGAAGUGGAAGUGUGGCGACACAUGUAGCGGACUAAUACUAAUAGCUCGAGGACUUAUCCAA
rnacentral:rRNA from 1 species